rnacentral:rRNA from 1 species
UACGAAGGGGGCUAGCGUUGUUCGGAGUUACUGGGCGUAAAGGGCGCGUAGGCGGCGCACCAAGUCAGGCGUGAAAGCCCUGGGCUCAACCCGGGAAUUGCGCUUGAGACUGGUGUGCUUGAGUACGGGAGAGGAUAGUGGAAUUCCCAGUGUAGAGGUGAAAUUCGUAGAUAUUGGGAAGAACACCAGUGGCGAAGGCGGCUCACUGGCCCGGUACUGACGCUGAGGCGCGAAAGCGUGGGGAGCAAACAGG